rnacentral:lncRNA from 1 species
AGUCUUUUUAAAUAAGGGAGGAGAAGAAGAGGAAGAGGAAGAGGAAGAAGAAGACGAUGAUGAGGAUGAAGAUAAGGAGGAGGAGGAGAAAAAGAAGAAGAAAAGAAGAUGGAGAAGAAAGAGGGGGAAGAUGAGUAGGGUGAGGAAGAGGAGGUAAGGAAGGAGAAGAACUACCCACCAAAUCCAUACCUGUUGUAGAAGGGAAGGUAGCAGGAUACACUUGGGGGAAGUUGAUCUUCAAGGUAAACUCAACAACAACCUCAGUUAACACUAUGAGGAGCUACAUAGCUGCCAGGUCACGUCAAUAUUGUCCCAUCCUGGGCCAGAAUGGCAAGGCCUUUGUACCCUAUAUACCCUAUACAUCAGUCAUUUCAGGUGGGCUUCCCCUGGAAAAAUAUGUGCUUGAUCAAGGAAGGUAUAUGGUGGGGACAAUCUGUGAAGGGACUGAUAACAUGCUCACCUGCUGUCAGGACAUUAAGUUCUUCGUUGAUGGAAGAUCUGGGAAGCACAUCAAAUGCUCUACCCCCUGAAAUGGCUGUGUGUCAAAAUCUAUAGCAGAUAAUAUGUAGAAGAUAGGGGUGAGCAACAUAUUUAAGAUCUAGUUCACUCUGUCAAACUCUCAGCUCUUCUCUUUCUCUCAAGUAAAAGACCAUGUGACACAUUCAUUAAAGAGGAAGUAAAGCAUGUUUAAUAGCAUUAGAUCCGACACUUGCAAAUUGUGUAAUUUUAUUGCUAGCAUGGCUCAGAUUUUUAUUGGAAGUUGCAGAUAACAACUUUUCUGGCUCUCCAUGUCAGCUGUAAUAUAUUUUCACAAAUUUAGGAAUUUAACAUGGAUGUAUUACCUAACAGUUCAGUUGUGAACUUCAAAAGUCUAGGUGGGGUGUCCUGGGUCUCUGCCUCAUGUACAACAGGCAGGAAGGAAUCAAGGUGUCAGCAGAGAUACAUUCCUCUCUGGAGACUAUAGGGGAGAAUCUACCUUCUCACUCAUCCAGAGUGUUGUGAGAAUUCAGCUUCUCAUACUUGCAAAACUGAGAUUACUUUUCUCUGCUGGCUGUCAGUUGAGGGCCACUCCCAUCUUCUAGAGGCCAUCAACAUUCUUUGGCUUAUGGCCCUUUCCUCCAUCUUCAAAGCCACUCACAGUGGGUCCAGUUUCUUUCAUGCUUUGGGUCUCCUCUUCAUCUUCUGUCACACCUCAACCAUCUGUUCUGCUUGCAUCUUCCACUUUUCAAGGAAGAUGUGAGUAGAUUGGACCUACCCCAACAAUCCAGGAUAAUCUUCCUCUGUUGAAGUUCAUCACUAUAAUUUGCAAAAUUUCUUCUGCUGUGCAACAUGGCCACAGAUUCCAGGGAUUAGGGUGUGAACAUCCUCGAGAGUCAUUACCCUGCCUCUACAACAACUCAUAGUGCUGUCUGAAGAUAAUGUUCAAGGCCUCUCCAGCUGGCACAGGAUAAGCCCUAAUAAACAAAGCUCAUGACAGGAGUCUGGAAAAAGACACUGAUUAAUAACCCUUAUAGUCAUCAGCAUAAGCUCUAUGGAAAAGGACUAAAUCUUGACAGAAGGGAGCAAUUUGGAUAAAGGAAAGGACAGAAAAACAUAAGAGAAAGAACAAGCACAUCAACUUCUAGUAGCAAGAGUCAGGCUUCAAAAACAAAAAGACCCAAAUUCAAGUGCUCACUCUGUUCUUUGUGAGUUUUAUUUUAAGCUUAUAAUACAUCUCUCUAGGCUUCAAUUUUCCUUUUUUUUUAAACUUACCUACUGCAUGUCUAUAUUCUAGAAGAAUAGCAAGGCAUUUUAGUAUCCUCUUUGGUCCUUGAGUUUUACUAUUCUUGGCUAACCCACAUUGUCUUCACAACUGUAUCCCUAGUUAUUCCAGGAAGCUAAGGAGAUUCAUUGGUUAUCUGCUUGUGUCUUUAUAAAAUGUUAAAAUGAUUAGUUCUUCAGGGUUAUGAAUCAAGUGAAGAGAAGGUCCUGAGCAAUAGUGUCCAAACUUCUUUGAUACUUUAAUCCAUCAGUGAAAAUAUUGGAAGGAGUGUUUCUAAUAUGUGAAUAAUAAAUAUGUGUGUUAGCCUGCUGUAUUAAGUAGCAAUGAACCUAAAUUAUAGCUAUUUUCAUUAUAGAUAAAGCAUUUCAUUGUAGAUAAAGAAUUCUUAAUAUAGCCCUUUUCCAUGACAGCAGAUUUUCUUCAUAAUCCCCCUAAGUACCUGUGGAGCAGAAGUCUUCGAUAGUGUUUAUUUCCUGAGACAUCUUCUCUGAUCACAGUUGCACUACACAUAGCCAGAAAUAUCAUCUCUUCUUUUUGACUUGGUCAAAAAACUAUUACAAUAUUUACGUUAAAAAGGUAUGGUUGAUCUCCCAACAAAGGUUGAACUCAGAUACCUUCUACUUAAUUAUACACAAAGAAGGGUAGAAGAUAAGAGAACUUUCUCUUAACAACUCAAAUCUUUUGAUCAAGAAUCCAGUAAAACUUGUUCAGGAAACUCUGGAGAUUUGAGAGAAAGAUGCAGUAAGAACACCUCAGGGUGUGUUUUUCCUGAGGCACUCCCAUCUGGCUGCAGCAGCUGGAUUUCAGAUCCCAGAGGCUUCAGGCAGCCCACUGCUGUGCAGGGAAGAGCCCCUGGUGCCUUUCCCCCUAAAGGGUGUGGGCUAAUAGCCCACGCUUCUUUUCUGAGAACAAGUCUGAAUUAUGCCUUCACCUCUUCUGAUUCUCUUUUUUCAUCAUGGAUUAUCUCUCUGACUUUAAAUUUGGAUCCAUCCUUCCAUUUAGCUCUCCAAAAAGCUCUUACCUCUCCCUAGAUUGAAUCUAAAAUAAUACCCUGUGGACACCUUCCUUCCCCUAUCACAACACUAGUGCAGUAGGUAGGUUUUUGUGGGAUUUGAAUUUUGAAUUUAAUGAUUUUUAAAUGAGUCAUGGAAGAUUUUAUUCUGAAAAAUCACAAGAUUUUAGGAAAGUGAUCUUGUCCAUGGUCUGGAGGAAAAACUUGGGCUAGGACACUGUGGAUUGGAGAGAUUGGCAGUGGGGUGUUGGGGUCAGCACUGUAUUAGCCAAUAAUCCAACAGUGGUAGGAUGAGAUACACAUGUGGCUUCCCUACCUACGCCCUUGUUUGAAAUGAGAGCGGAGAAAGUUUAUUAGUGAUUUACAGUAUUUAUUUAUAUGAUAUACAAUACAAUAUGUAAGUAGCAAGUAAUAUCUGCAAUGCACAUUGAAUGAGCACACUGCUGGAUGCUAUUUUUCAUGUAAUAUGCUGGUGUAAGCAAAAAAAAAAAAGGAACAUAUACUUGAAAACAGAAGUCUGAAAAUUAGAUCAUAAACAGAAUUGUUUCAGAACUGCUUUUUCAUCAUGUAAUACCACUUUGGAGACUACAAAGGAGAAGUUAAGGUAGAAUUAAAUUAUUAAGUAAGUAAUGCAUUAUUAAGAAAGUCAGAUGUGGCAGAGCCAAAGUGAUUCUGGUCCUGGUGCUGCUACCAUUCGGCUGUGUGAUUUGGCAAAACACUAAGAAUACAAUUUCCUCAGUUGUAAAAUAAAGGUAUUCAAUAGCAUAAACUCCUCCAAGAUUUCUCCUUGUUUUAGAAUUCUAUGCAUGUAAAAUAUAUAAAUAAUUCUUUUUAAUUACUUAUUUAUUCUGUUACAGUUUUCAAGCAUCAUGUAUCAUUUUUCAACCACUAUUGAUUUUUUAUGUGUACUUAGAUUUUAUUAAUGAGCAUAUUUUGGUCUAUCUCAAAAUAUUUUUAAGGGGAAGAAGAUUAUAAAUAAUCACCAUAUUGUAUUUAACAGUAAUUUAGUAUGAAUAAAAUCAACACAUAAUAAUCAUCAUUAUUUCUUCACAAAACACAAAAGGAUUAAAAUUACAUUUUCCUCUGGAGUUGUAAUCUUGCAAUAUUUUAAGCGGAAUAAGAGAUUUUCAAAAAAGACUAUAUCUUAUACAACCAGAAGAAUGAUGUAAUACUCCAUUUAUAUAUAAUGUGUCAAAAUGCAUUCUAUUGUCAUGAAUAACUAAUUAGAACAAAUUAAAAAAUUAGAAAAAUAAGGAAUUCAAAUUAAGUGGCUUGUUAAUUUGAGGAGGUGCAGUCUCUGGCACAUAUAGAAGCAUAACUGAGGAGAUGGGAGGCAUUAGUAUGGGGAAAUAGAUACAGCAACAAUUGUAUCUGCCUCUGGAAUAAACCUACAAAUUACUCUUAUAUGUGAGUAUAUUUGAUGUUCUAAUGACUAACAAUACUUCAAAUUAAAUAAUGAGAUUCUAGUUCAAGAGACACAGAAAGUGUCCAGUUUCACCAAUGCCCUAGGAAAAUGAAAAUUGUCACCACUGCCUCCCAGGAAAGGAUCGACCUAAAAUUUACUUGCCAUUUCUAUAUGUUUACUUUCUUUGGGCAAAUAGUAUUUGGGUAAAUUACAGUAACCUUGGAGUCAGAAAGUCUGUGCUUAAAUACUGGCAUCUUCUUUUUCUAGCUAUGUGAAAUUGAGUGAGGCCACAAACUCUUUUAACCUCAGUCUCUUAUUUGGGACGUGGAAUCAAUAGUAGAGUGAUGAUAAUGACCCUGUGUUCUUCAAAGGGAUGUGAAUAAAACAAAUUGGUUAAUGUGGAACUUUAAACUAUUUAAUUUACUUAUUUUUAUGUGGUGCUGAGGAUCGAACCCAGGGCCUCACACGUGCUAGGUGAGAUCUCUACUGAUGAGCCACAACCCCAGCCCCUUUAAACCAAGUUUAUAAUGAGUUGAUACAAUGAGUUAAAAUGUAACAAUAUAAAGGAAUGUGACAUUUACUAUAUUAAUUAACUUCCUAUCAUAUGCAAAUUCUGUGAAUUAACCGAAACCAAAUCAAAACAAAGUAAUAUUCCACCUUCAAUGAUAUAAUCUACCUGUGCAAACAUAAAUAAAAACACCUAACAUUCUUCCAGUAACUCUGUGGGAGAGCAUGUAUACUUUUAAAACUCUCUGGGGUUCAACUUUUUCAGCUGUAAAGAGUAAGUUUUGGUUCAGUGGCACUUAUGUUUUUUAAAGCUCUAAGGUAUGAUUUGAGAAGAAAUAUGACUUUUGAAAAUGAGAUUUGGCAUUAAUAAAGAAAAUGCUGGGGAGAUUCACAAGGACAGAUUAGAGAAAAGCAGCAUUUCUAGUAGCUCUGUGGCUGGAGAUUCAAGCAGUGGGAGGACUGCUUCUCAGCAAGGUAGGUGAAAGGAAAUUUUUCUGAAAUUCAGUGUCAAAUUGUCAGAGUCUCUGAGAGAUUCGGAAAUUGGGGUGCAUUAGACAAAGAACAAGAAGGAUACACUGGGCCCCCGCUGGUUGUGGCAGCAGCAGUGGUGCUGGUUCACUGCAGAGGGAAGGGAUAACAUGAACAGAGAAAGAAACAAAAUGGACAAAUUUGCCAUGAAAAAAACUGUAGAUGAGAAAAGCAGCUUGAACUUAGCUGAUCCAGAGGUUCUGUUGUUUGAAAAGUGCUCUGUGUUUCUCAACAGGCCAGCAUGGAGUGGGGGCAGGAGCCUUCUAGAGGAGGCCAGCAUUUGCUAUGCCAGAUUCCCACGCUGCCAUACUCUCUGGGAGACCUCCUACCAUGUGGCCUUGGGACUACCUAGCAGAAAACAAGAAGGAGUCAGGUUCAGAGAAGACUGUAGCCAGGGGAAUCCAGGUUAUAAAUAUGGUAGUGGUGGGAGUGGAGUUGAAAUCACUUUCCCUUUGAAUCUGGUGGCUCAUAUGACCAGUUGAAGAGGGUUGAGAAACUAAAGAAGCAGAUGUGAAUACACUCAGAAACAAAGCUUAGGAAGGUAGUAUUCUUGGACAGCAGAGUGUAUGAGACUUUUGGAGGCAUGGCUCUCCUGCCCUGCAGGUAGAAUUUUUGCUAGGUCCUGAGAUCCAGACUCCCAGCAUCUGGCUGGCCCUAGGCAUCUGUGGAUCUAAUCUCUCCAGAGCAGACAGCACCCAGCAAAGCCCCUAAGGCCUGAUUAGAACCAAACCCCAACCACCAGACCCUCCUUCUUAGAUCUGCAGCAGACCCACCCUGAGAGUGCAUCAAUCUAGUCUAUUCAGACAAAACUCCUAUCAACAGUAUUUCCCAUCCAAUCCAUCCUACCUUGAAAAGGGAAGCAGAGAGCUCUUUCAAUCAGCUGCAUUAUAGCCCAGGGAGCAACAACACAAAAAGAGGAAGGGAUGAACAACCCUCAGCCUUCUACCCUAUCUCCUCUCUCUCUCUCUCUCUCUCUCUCUCUCUCUCUCUCUCUCUCUCUCCCUCUACCUCUACCUCUCUCUCAGUAAAUAACCAGAGGAAAAAUGGAAAGGGACAACUGUCCAUAGGCAGUGACCAUCCAUCCUCAACCACAGAUUUGACCAUCUAGUGGAGACAAUUCUUUCAUUUUCAUUAAGAAUUUUUCCCUUUGUAUUGGGAGGGGCUGACACGGUGUUCUUGCUAUGCUGAUUGGUUCAUAUAUUUAUAUGUAUACACAUAUUUGUUCCUUUUUUCUCACUUUUAGCAUUCUUAACAAUUUUUUUCCUUGUCUUUUAAAAGUUGGGGUUUUGUUUGUUUCUCUUAUUUUUCUUUCUCUCCUUUCUUCUCCCUCUAACAAAUUAUCUGAUUCUUUCUUACUCUCCUUUUUUCCCAAUUUUCUCCAUUUUACAGCCAUCACUUGCCAUAUCUCAUAUAUUCUCUCUGUUCAUAAUUUGAACAUUCCAAACUUUCUUUUACUUUCCUAUUACAUUUUAUUGUCUCUUAAUGAACCGUAUUUUUAACCAUCUUUUAGAAUUAGUUAUUCAUAUGUAAAAGAAUGAAUCUAGACCUUAUCUCUUUUCAUGCCCCAAAGUCAACUCAAAAUGGAGCAGAGACCUAGGAAUUGGACCCAAAACUAUGCAACUCCUUAAAAAACAAAACAAAACAAAACAAAACAAAACAAAACAUAGGGGUAAUACUCAAACAUACAGGCAGAGGCAAGAACUUUCUCAAUAGAACCACUAAAGUUCAGGAAAUAAUGUCAAGAAGUUAAUAAAUGAGAUGGCACAAACUUUUAAAGCUUCUGCACAGCAAAAGAAACAAUUAAGAAUGUGAAAAGAGAACAUACAGACUGGGAGAAAAUUUUUGUUAGCUACUUUUCUGACAGGAUUAAUAUCCUAAAUAUAUAAAGAACUCAAAAAACAUAAUACCGAAAAAAAAGCAAAUAACCAAGUUAAUAAAUGGAUAGAUAAUCUAAAACAUACCUUUCUCAGAAGAAAAAAAUACAAGUGCUCAACAAAUAUAUAAAAAAAAGUGUUCAGCAUCUUUAGCAAUUAAGGAAAUACAAAUCAAAACUAUACCGAGAUUUCAUUUCAUUCCAGUUAGAAUGGCAGUCAUCAAGAAUAUGAAAAAUAAAAAAUGCUAAAGAGGAUGUGGACAAUAAGGAGCACUUUUACACUGUUGGUGGAAUUGUAAAUUAGACAACAACUAUAGAAAUAAGACUUAAAUGACUAAGAAUGGAACUAUCAUUUGACCCAGCUAUACCAAUUUUGGGUCUUUAUCCUAAAGAACUAAAGUCAUGCAUAUUAAUGACAGCAGCAAUUCAAAUAGCCAAACUAUGGAACCAGUCUAGGUAUCUGUCAGUGAAUAAAUUGAUUUUUUAAAAAAAUGCACUGUAUAUACACAAUGAACUUUUAUUUGGUUAUAAAGAAGAAUGAAAUUAUGUCAUUUUUAGAGGAAAUGGUGAAAUUUGAAAACAUUCUGUUAAUCAAAAUAAGCCAAAUUCAGAAUGUCAAGGAUUGUAUAUUUUCUCAUAUGUGGGAGCUAAAGAGGAAAAAGGGGAAGUGUGUUUGUGUGUGUUGCAGGGGGUCUCAUGAGAAUUGAAGGAAGAUCAGUAGGGUCAAGGAAAGGGAAUGGGGAAGAAGGAGAGGAAGAAAAAAGGAAAUAUUGUGGAAUGAUGUUACCCAAACCAUAUUCUGUGUUUGCACAAAUAUGUAACAAUGAAUCCCACCAUUAUGUAUAACUAUAAUUUC